rnacentral:rRNA from 1 species
UACGUAGGGCGCAAGCGUUGUCCGGAAUUAUUGGGCGUAAAGAGCUCGUAGGCGGUUUGUCGCGUCUGCUGUGAAAUCCCGAGGCUCAACCUCGGGCUUGCAGUGGGUACGGGCAGGCUAGAAUUCGGUAGGGGAGACUGGAAUUCCUGGUGUAGCGGUGAAAUGCGCAGAUAUCAGGAGGAACACCGAUGGCGAAGGCAGGUCUCUGGGCCACUACUGACGCUGAGAAGCGAAAGCGUGGGGAGCGAACAGG